rnacentral:misc_RNA from 1 species
GCAAUAAUGAGCCUUCCCCCAGCACUUGAUAGCUUCACUUGCUUGACAUGUGGUAUUGGAACAAUAAACUCUCCAACAUCUGUAUCUCCAAUUGACCUAGAAAGACAUNNNNNGCGCAAGGGACCAACCUCAUUGCCCCCAAAAACAUUUAGCCUUCCUACUUCACCCCCACUUGCAGUUACACGCUCCCUCUCUUCUGCAUUCUCUUCUAACCUGUGAUCAACUGUCAAGAGGGAAACUACACCCCCCUGGGUAUCCAAGAUGCAUCGUGAAUCCCCCACGCAACAGUAACAGUCCACCCAUCUAUCACAACAAAUGUCACAGUUGUCCCAGAAGUUUCCCUUUUCUGCUGAAAUUCUAUGUCAGUUUUCACAAAACUGGCUACUAGAGCUCGAGGAAGGGCUUGAAGCCACUCUUCCCGACUGAUU